rnacentral:ncRNA from 17 species
CUUUCCGAGGAGCGUUGCAGCGUCCCCAGCACGGCGGGGCGCGAGGCUCGGAAGUCAUACCCAGCAACGACGCUCACCCACG